AAGGCGAGGCCGAAAGGCGUAGUCGAUGGGAAACAGGUUAAUAUUCCUGUACUUGGUGUUACUGCGAAGGGGGGACGGAGAAGGCUAUGUUGGCCGGGCGACGGUUGUCCCGGUUUAAGCGUGUAGGCUGGUUUUCCAGGCAAAUCCGGAAAAUCAAGGCUGAGGCGUGACGACGAGGCACUACGGUGCUGAAGCAACAAAUGCCCUGCUUCCAGGAAAAGCCUCUAAGCAUCAGGUAACAUCAAAUCGUACCCCAAACCGACACAGGUGGUCAGGUAGAGAAUACCAAGGCGCUUGA
rnacentral:rRNA from 1 species